rnacentral:rRNA from 1 species
UACAUGUGGGGCAAGCGUUGUUCGGAAUUACUGGGCAUAAAGGGUGCGUAGGCGGUUUGUUAAGUCAGGGGUGAAAGUUUUCGGCCCAACCGGAAAAUGGCCUCUGAUACUGGCGAACUCGAGUGCGUGAGGGGUAACCGGAACGAGUGGUGUAGCGGUGAAAUGCGUAGAUAUCACUCGGAAGGCCAACGGCGAAGGCAGGUUACUGGUACGCAACUGACGCUGAGGCACGAAAGCGUGGGGAGCAAACAGG